CGUGGCUGGCAUUGCGGCUGACCUCGGCUCGCCGGAGUCGCCGUGGUCACGCCCCAGUUCUUUGUGGUCCGGAUGCGGCCGGCGCAGCGCCAGGCUCGGCCAACUCGCGCGCGAGCUGGCUCUGCCUUUCCACCGCAGCCCCGCUGAUCCGGUGGGUGCCGCGAUCGCGCCGCUCGCAGUACCAGACUAAACCCUUAUCACCAACGACACAACGUCUUCCGGCAGCGCUAUCCGUAUUCGUGUCCUCCCUCCGCGGCGCAGGGCGACUUCAUGAGGAACCGCUCAUCCGGCUCCAAGCUCGGCUGCAGCGGCAGAGCGGGCGUGCGGAGCAGCUUGGAAAUGUCCGCGCGCCAAAACAUUUUUGGGAUUGGAGGUGUGAUCACUAGGGUUGGCUCUAGUGACCUGCCUCUGCACCGACCUAUCGGCUUCGGUCUGCCUUGUUGCUGCGGAAGGGGACCACUUGUUUGUUCAAGAUUGGGUUUCCUACCCCUCCAUCGGAGCGCAGAGUUUCAGAAGUGGUGAAGGUGUCUUUGAAAGACAACAAGGAGUACCGUGAUCCUCCACAGGAGGGACUUCCACAGCCAGCCCCUCAGCAGAAUGUGGAGGAAGCACAGGUCUCUCUUAAGGAGUAUUAUCAGGAUGAUAUCUCCUCUCUGGAGGCUCAGAUAGCAUAUAUGGACACGAAAGUGGCUGGAGUAAUUGGAGAUCCUGAUAUUAGCCCUGCGGACGCAAAGAGAGUUGCUAGAAAGUGGCUGGAGUAAUUGGAGAUCCUGAUAUUAGCCCUGCGGACGCAAAGAAAGUUGCUAGAAAACUAGGACGAGGACAAAAGUUUUUAAAUUGGGUAAAGGCAAAAGUUGCACAUAUGGAAGGGAUGGAAGCUGCUCCGGGGGUAGGAACCAGAGGGAGAUGUGGAGCAAGGAGCGCCUGAGCACAUUCAGGAAAAGCCCAUAGUCGUGUCUGCUCAGGAACCAGAGGGACCAGAUAUUGCCCUUGAUGGCCUGUCAGUAUCUUAACAGUCGAUAGAGAGAUUGCUAAUUGAAACAUCGUAUAGAAUGCAAAUGAACAUGCUAAAUGCAUGAGUAACAGCUCUUGCUGCAUCAUAAUUGCAAAAAUGAUUCCAAUAAUAUUGCCCAUAGCAUGUAGCCGUUGAUCCUCAGAUGAUUGUUUUGUUCCUGCGAAGGGAUGGAAGCUGCUCCGGAGGGACUGGGUGUCGAGGACCAGCGAGUCCCCAGAAUUUCAAGUAAUGAACUGUCAUAUAGGCUGAGUGAAUUCAAGGGUCUGCCCUUUAGACGAAUGCACCUACUGUUUUGAUGGACCUCAGUCACCCAGCCUUUUCUAUCUCAUACUGAGAGGCUCUUUUCACGGGCCAUAGUACGUCGAGGCUGUUCAGGAGAGCUGGACGUGUGACUUGUCAUCAUGUAUCUUAAACUUGUUCGCCUGUCCUCGGAGUUGAACUGAUUUGUGAGAAGCUAGCCCGCCAAUCUUUUGAUGAAGACAG